UGGGCACUGUAACUUGCCAGAGAUCACCGAGAGAUUGGGUCCUCUUGGAAAAGUGUGCAUAACGGACUGGAAGGACCCCAGCAGGGACAACUUGCCACUUAUCAGAUGUUUCUGAAGUCUUUUCUUCCAUGUGAGCGGAGGAAGAGCUCAUCCUGACAACCACCUCCCACUCCAGCAACACUCACCUGUGGGGAGAGAGCUCAUCUCAUGGAUGCUGUCAUUGUGGACUCGACACACCACAAAGCACUGCCAAGCAGCUAAUAAUGUAGUAGUGUGAUGUGUGUAAAUACACAUGGAG
rnacentral:lncRNA from 1 species